rnacentral:rRNA from 1 species
GUGGUUUUCGUAAUCGCGAGAGUUAAUGAGCACUAGCUUUGGUGCCGCCAACACAAAACCCCAAUUUUACAAAUUUUUCAAGAGAAUAUUUUUAGUCUUAUCGGUGGAUCACUCGGCUCGUAGAUCGAUGAAGAACGCAGCCAACUGCGAUAAUUAGUGCGAACUGCAGAUAUUUUGAGCACUAAAGUUUCGAAUGCACAUUGCGCCAUUGGAUUUUAUCCUUUGGCACGUCUGAUUCAGGGUCGUAAAUACAAAAC